GAUGAGCUACUGAUUUAGCUUCUCUUCAACUUUCCCAAGAUGGCCUUGGCAACUCUGUUCCCUGUUCAUACUGUGUUGAACAUAACCAAGCAAAGUGCCCCACUAACUUAACCCUAAGAAUUUUAUUUAUUAUUUAUUUAUUUAUUUAUUUAUUUAUUCACUCACUCACUUCCUUACUUGCUUAUUUCUUGUGACAGGAUCUUGCUAGGCAAGAGAGGCCUGGAACUCACUAUAUAGACCAGGCUGGCCUCCAAGUCACAGAAAUCCACGCAUCUCUCUCUGCUUUCUCGAGUAUGGGCUUGUACCAAGCUGGCCCACAGUGAGCGUUUUAAAAUUAUGUUUUGUUGGACAUGGUGGCACACGCCUUUAAUCCCAGCACUCAGGAGGCAGAGGCAGGCGGAUUUGAGUUCCAGGACAGCCAGGGCUAUACAGAGAAACCCUGCCUAAAAAAAAAAAAAAAAAAAAAAAAAAAAAAAAAAGACUCAUGCUCAUGUUUUCAAGCCUUAUGUUAAAUGUAAUAGACUUCUAUAACAAUGUGGUUUGUUAUUGAGAAAUAAUCCUGACUUUCCUUAAAGCUUCACAAGACUGGAGGUGUAGCCUAGUUCGUGGAGCACAUGGUUGGCUCGGCAUUCCUUCUUGGCUGGAGGGGAGAUAGGCAGGAGGCAGGGUGGGGGCAGGAAGAAUCUUGAAAGUAUUUGGAAGGUGGAAGCCACAGAACUUGGAGUUCAAGGAGGUCCUUUGCUGUAACUCUGUCGUGAACCAGGCUAUGUUGUAAGACCUUGUGUCAAAAAUAAAGCAAGGGAGCCGGGCGUGGUGGUGCACGCCUUUAAUCCCAUCACUCGGGAGAGAGAGGCAGGCGGAUUUCUGAGUUUGAGGCCAGCCUGGUCUACAAAGUGAGUUCCAGGACAGCCAGGGCUAUACAGAGAAACACUGUCUCGAAAAAACCGAAAUAAAAAAAUAAAAUAAAUAAAUAAAUAAAACAAGGGAUAAUUGAAUUGGUACAUGCUUACGAUUAUAGCAUUUGGAGCGGCAGAGGCCUGCAGGAUUGUCACAAGUUCGAGACUUUUAAGCAUCCUUAAAAAGGAAACUAAACAAAAAAGAGGAUAAACAAAGAAGUCACCAAAACAAUC
rnacentral:lncRNA from 1 species